rnacentral:rRNA from 1 species
GGUUAAGCGACUAAGCGUACACGGUGGAUGCCCUGGCAGUCAGAGGCGAUGAAGGGCGUGCUAAUCUGCGAUAAGCGCCGGUAAGGUGAUAUGAACCGUUAUAACCGGCGAUACCCGAAUGGGGAAACCCAGUGUGACUCGUCACACUAUCAUUAACUGAAUCCAUAGGUUAAUGAGGCGAACCGGGGGAACUGAAACAUCUAAGUACCCCGAGGAAAAGAAAUCAACCGAGAUUCCCUCAGUAGCGGCGAGCGAACGGGGAGGAGCCCAGAGCCUGAAUCAGCAUGUGUGUUAGUGGAAGCGUCUGGAAAGGCGCGCGAUACAGGGUGACAGCCCCGUACACAAAAGCGCAUAUGCUGUGAGCUCGAUGAGUAGGGCGGGACACGUGGUAUCCUGUCUGAAUAUGGGGGGACCAUCCUCCAAGGCUAAAUACUCCUGACUGACCGAUAGUGAACCAGUACCGUGAGGGAAAGGCGAAAAGAACCCCGGUGAGGGGAGUGAAAAAGAACCUGAAACCGUGUACGUACAAGCAGUGGGAGCACCCUUUGGGGUGUGACUGCGUACCUUUUGUAUAAUGGGUCAGCGACUUAUAUUCUGUAGCAAGGUUAACCGAAUAGGGGAGCCGGAGGGAAACCGAGUCUUAAU